rfam:Pongo abelii chromosome 2a.
AGAAUGGUUUUUUUAAAAACCAUAAUUUUUUUAUUAUAAUGCUUG